UACGGAGGGUGCAAGCGUUAAUCGGAAUUACUGGGCGUAAAGCGCACGCAGGUGGCUGAGUCAGUCGAUUGUGAAAGCCCUGGGCUUGACCUGGGAAUUGCAGUCGAUACUACUCAGCUAGAGUAUGGGGAGAGGGUAGUGGAAUUCCCGGUGUAGCGGUGAAAUGCGUAGAUAUCGGGAGGAACAUCAGUGGCGAAAGCGGCUUCCUGGUCCAGCACCGACGUCAGGCACGAAAGCGUGGGGAGCAAACAGG
rnacentral:rRNA from 1 species